ACUGAUUCAUCUAUGUGAGGACCUUCUGGAAUAGAAGUUGUACCUACUAAUGCUGGUUAUACAGAUUCUCAUUUUCCUGGUAUUGCGAAGUUGUGACAUCAUCACAAUCACACAGUCAAUGUCAUAGGGCUGGAACCCAUCAGGAAGAAUACCAGAAAAUUGGAACAAAAAGAGGUGCAGCUUACCUCACAGUAGGAAAGAAGCGGCCUUUUAAUUGGAUUAUAUCACAUCACCACAAAAUUUAUGGAGCCUGGCCACUAUGCUAAAUAGAGACUGACCAUCAAAAUUUUGGAUUACCCAUGAACCCAGCUUUUUUCUUCCUUCUUCCUUUUUCAGUCAAACUUCAGAAACUAAAAAGAGGAAAAACUAAAUUAUUACAUUCAAG